GACCGUGUAGCUCAGUAGGUAGAGCGUCGAUCUAGUAAUUCGAAGGUUGCGGGUUCGAGACCCAUGCAGCCGCGGCA
rnacentral:tRNA from 1 species